UCUGUAGAUCAAGAUGAGAUGGUCGGGUACAUCCUCAAAGGCCUAAACUUUGAUUACAAUCCUGUUGUUUCAUCUGUUCUUGGCCGUGCUGACCCCAUCACGCUGAGCGAUCUUCACGCUCAACUGACCGCUUACG